rnacentral:rRNA from 1 species
GACACUGAACACUGGUCCUUGAUGUGUAGGAUAGGUGGGAGGCUUUGAAGUGUGGACGCCAGUCUGCAUGGAGCCGUCCUUGAAAUACCACCCUUUAAUGGCUGGUGUUCUAACGUGGGCCCGUGAUCCGGGUUGCGGACAGUGUCUGGUGGGUAGUUUGACUGGGGCGGUCUCCUCCUAAAGAGUAACGGAGGAGCACGAAGGUCAGCUAAUCCUGGUCGGACAUCAGGAGGUUAGUGCAAUGGCAUAAGCUGGCUUGACUGCGAGCGUGACGGCGCGAGCAGGUGCGAAAGCAGGUCAUAGUGAUCCGGUGGUUCUGAAUGGAAGGGCCAUCGCUCAACGGAUAAAAGGUACUCCGGGGAUAACAGGCUGAUACCGCCCAAGAGUUCAUAUCGACGGCGGUGUUUGGCACCUCGAUGUCGGCUCAUCACAUCCUGGGGCUGAAGUAGGUCCCAAGGGUAUGGCUGUUCGCCAUUUAAAGUGGUACGCGAGCUGGGUUUAGAACGUCGUGAGACAGUUCGGUCCCUAUCUGCCGUGGGCGCUGGAGAAUUGAGGGGGGCUGCUCCUAGUACGAGAGGACCGGAGUGGACGCAUCACUGGUGUUCGGGUUGUCAUGCCAAUGGCAUUGCCCGGUAGCUAAAUGCGGAAGAGAUAAGUGCUGAAAGCAUCUAAGCACGAAACUUGCCCCGAGAUGAGUUCUCCCUGACUCCUUGAGAGUCCUGAAGGAACGUUGAAGACGACGACGUUGAUAGGCCGGGUGUGUAAGCGCAGCGAUGCGUUGAGCUAACCGGUACUAAUGAACCGU